AUCGCUUCUUGGCCUUUUGGCUAAGACCAGGUGUAGUAUCUGUUCUUAUCAGAUUAAUAUCUGAUACGUUCCCUAUCCGGGGACCAUGUAUAUAUUGGAUUUUCGCAACAGGAAAUGGUAUAGGGGCUUGCUCCGUCCACUCUAUGCAUCGACCUGGUAUUGCAGUACCUCCAGGAGCGGUGCGCCCCCC